rnacentral:SRP_RNA from 1 species
GCUGGACGCGGUGGUGUGUGCCUGUUGUCCCAGCUACUCGGGAGGCUGAGGUGGGAGGAUCACUUGAGCCCAGGAGUUCUGGGCUGUAGUGCGCUAUGCCGAUUGGAUGUCCGCACUAAAUUCGGCAUCAAUAUGGUGAACUCCGAGGAGCCAGGGACCACCAGGUUGCCAAAAAGGAAUGAACUGGCCCAGGUCGGAAACGUAGCAGGUCAAAACUCCUGUGCUGAUCAGCAGUAGGAUCACACCCGUGAAUAGCCACUGCACUCCAACCUGGGCAACAUAGAGAGACCCGCCUAU